rnacentral:lncRNA from 1 species
UAGCACUUUCCGGGAAACUCCACUCAAAGCACUUAUUGGAUGAUGAGGACUCGGUGCCACCACCACCAAUAUGCAGCAUUCACCUGGCUUUUUGCAAAGCCUUUGUUUUCUGGCAGGAUUUCGCCAUACCAUCCUUUGAAGUUCCUGAGUCAGCCAAGACAGGGUGAAAGUUCUUCAAUGAAAGUUCUAUUAUCUUGAGAUGGGAUUUGGGACCAGAUGGUACAAAAGUCUACUUUUAAAUUUUUCUGCA